rnacentral:rRNA from 1 species
AGUAAAUAGAUACCCAGGUAGUCCACGCCGUAAACGAUGAGUACUAGGUGUAGGAGGUAUCGACUCCUUCUGUGCCGCAGUUAAACACAAUAAGUACUCCGCCUGGGAAGUACGGUCGCAAGAUUAAAACUCAAAGGAAUUGACGGGGGCCCGCACAAGCAGCGGAGCAUGUGGUUUAAUUCGAAGCAACGCGAAGAACCUUACCUAGACUUGACAUCUCCUGAAUAGUGUAGAGAUACAUGAAGCCCUUCGGGGCAGGAAGACAGGUGGUGCAUGGUUGUCGUCAGCUCGUGUCGUGAGAUGUUGGGUUAAGUCCCGCAACGAGCGCAACCCUUAUUACUAGUUGCUACCAUUAAGUUGAGCACUCUAGUGAGACUGCCCGGGUUAACCGGGAGGAAGGCGGGGAUGACGUCAAAUCAUCAUGCCCCUUAUGUCUAGGGCAACACACGUGCUACAAUGGUGAGUACAGACAGAUGCGAUACCGCAAGGUGGAGCCAAACUCUAAAACUCAUCCCAGUUCGG